AAAUAAAAAACUUGAGAGGGAGCUCCAAGAAGAUGACACAGCUCAAAAUAAAAAUUAGGUAUAUUCUCGUAAAGUCAAGUGAGCCAUGACAUAUGAGCUCUUAUUGUGAGCACACAGGACGGUGGCAUCUUUCUAAGGUUUUUUUUAUUUUCCCAGCAAUCAGUACAACCAAGUCAUCGUUAUAAGGCAUCGCCCUCUUUUGCCCACCCCCCCAGCACCAGGUGUGGCCACUAGCCUAUAUGAAGGCCCAAAAUUGUGUGUUCCUUUCUGCUCUGACAAUGGCAUGCCCAUUCGUGCGAGAUGUGGUGGAUGAAGAAGCACUUGUGCUGAGGAGAGCCUUCAGGCGAGAAAGGGUCUUCAGGGACCGGUUGGACCCACUGGCCUUCCCUGACGACCAUCUAUAUGAAAGAUACAGGUUUUCUGCAGAUGGCAUCAGGUAUCUAUGCAGACUACUGGGUCCCAGGAUUAAGCACCGCACUGCACGGAGCCAUGCACUGAGUGUGGAGCAAAUGGUUUGUGUGGCCUUGCGCUUUUUGCUAGUGGAGCCUUCCUGUACUCAGUGGGGGAUGCAGAACAGCUGAACAAGGCCACAAUUUGCCGCACAAUAAGAAGUGUGUGUCUGGCUAUCAAAGCAUUAGCAGAUGUCUUCAUCUCCUUCCCUGGCCACAGAAGACUCUGUGACAUCAAAGAGGAGUUCUAUAGGAUUGCAGAUGGUCUGCAAUGCUGACUGUGUGAUCAGCAAUGUUGUGGCAAAAUGGCCUGGCUCAGUCCAUGACUCCAGAAUCUUUCGGGCCUCUGAAAUCUAUCAGUGCCUAUCACAAGGUGAAUUCUCUGGUGUGUUGCUGGGAGACAGGGGGUAUGGCUGCCAGCCUUUCUCCUGACACCUUUCACAGACCCCCAGGAAGCACAGCAGGCCUACAACCAUGCCCAUGCCAGGACCAGGGCCAGAGUUGAAAUGACCUUUGGCCUCCUGAAGGCACGCUUUCACUGCCUUCACAAAUUAAGGGUCAGCCCUGUUAGGGCAUGUGAUAUUACUGUGGCUUGUGCUGUCCUCCACAAUGUGGCCUGCCUGAGGAAGGAGAGGGCCCCAGAGUGCCACCAGCCAUGGACUGGGACAAUCCGGCAAUCUUCCCUGAUGACGACAGUGGUCGGCUGCUGAGGGACCAAUAUGUGUUGAAUUAUUUUAGUUAGUAUGUGUGCUUUCAAUUUUGGUUAAAUAUGUCCUGCGGUGGCAGAGGAAUUUGGGUUUUUUUGGGUUCGUUUUUUUACGAAUUUGGCCUCUUAUGAUGUUUGUGCGGUAUACUGUGUGUAAUACAAGGCUGCAGGGAGGCUACUGCAUCCAUUCAUUUGUCUGUUCAGUUGAUGUGUAUGGAUUUGUCCUGCAUUUAUUUUAGUGUGCAGACAUGCAGGGUGUGUUAUAUACAGACCUUUGAAUGUGUAUGUAUCAUUUUGUAUAAUAUGCUUGGAUUCUGUGCUUUCCAUCUUGUAGAGUCACUGUGACUUCAGUUUCGAAAGGAGCUGAUGGUUUACCUGCUUUGUUUUUUGUCCUUAUUCAAUAAAGGAACAUAAUGUUACACAUUGUGUUUUUAUAUUCA